UUUAAGCGUUAAUUUUACUUACCUGGGUACUAUUAGUUAAGAUCUUUAAACCCAAAGAAUUUGGCGGUAUCUCAUUCCAUUCAGAGGAACCUACCCCGUAAUUGAUAAUACACGAUUAACUUUACUUAAUUUAUUUGUUUGUAUAUCUCCGUUAUCAGAAAAUCUUUUUGGAGUUAUAAUUUUCUUGAUUCAUAAUUGUGAAUUAUUUCAGGUCAAGGUGCAGCUUAUAAUUAAGUGGAGGUGGGUUACAAUAAAUUUAUAUUUAUUACGGAUUUUUUGCUGUAAUUUAAAAAUAAAGGUGGAUUUGAUAGUAAUUUAAUUUAUUUAAUUUAUUUGAUAUUGGCUCUGAGGUGUGU
rnacentral:rRNA from 1 species